ACGCUCGACACCUACGAGAGGCAGCAGUCGGGAAUAUUGCGCAAUGGAGGAAACUCUGACGCAGUGACGCCGCGUAUAGGAAGAAGGUUUUCGGAUUGUAAACUAUUGUCGUUAGGGAAGAAAAAAGACAGUACCUAAGGAGGAAGCUCCGGCUAACUACGUGCCAGCAGCCGCGGUAAUCUGAGCGGGCUGGCAAGGC
rnacentral:rRNA from 1 species